CAGCGACUCUCCCUCCGGCGGCUGCAGCAGCAGAGCCAGGCACACUGCAAUCCCAUUAGUGAGUGGCGGCCACUGUGAAGAAGAGUCUGUGACUGGGAAUAAUGCAAAAUAAUUUUACUUUUGAGAGACUCUAAACUCUUCAAACCAUUGUUAUAACAGAUGAUGCUUGACAUUGCCAAUCAUUCUAUCUUCCUUUUACUUGUGAUUUUGUUCAUUCUGCCUUAGCUACUGGAAGCAAAUCAGAGAUCUCAGUACUGAAGACAUUUCUCUAACUUGAAAGUCACACCAGCACAGAGCAUGCUUUUCAGGUCCACUUGGAAGUGUUGGCUCCUGACCAGCUACACUGGUACAAUACUCUGCUACACUGCUCACACUGACGCCAGCUCCCUUUUACUGCCAGCUUUCCACAAAGGUUGUGAAGAAUUUUUUUCUGUUCGUGCUUGGCCUUGUGGUGUCGAUUCAUAGAAACAGGUAGUUGCAAGAAAAUAUCCUGCUUUUUACCUUUUUAUCUUAAACAUUCCCUUCGAUUAUUUUCAUAAUAAAAUUGAUCAUUUAAAACCUUUUCUGUCGUAAAAUAGAAAAAACCCCCACCCUAACCUAUAUUGUAUAUCUGGAGAUAUUCUUUAAAACCUCUUUUCAUGGAGUUACUGAAGUAUGUGGUAAUCAAAAAUUAUUUUGGAAAAGCAUCACAGUCAGUCUUGGGCAGGCCACUGAAAACUGGCUUACUGGUUCUGGCCAAGGCAAGUCCUGUGUGUUAGCAGCUGUGCUCACUUCUUCCUUGGAGAACAUAAAGAGAGGACAAGUCACAGUCCCAAUACUUUCUGAAGGAUUAAUGUUACUGAAAAAAAUAAUGAAAAAUAUGUUUUGACAGUUUAGUACCUUUUGAAAAAAUAAUUGAAGUUAGAAAGUUAGAUGCCAGGAUUAGUCAAAUCAAUGUGACAUGAAAUGGCAGAGACUAUAAACCCUAAAAAGAAAAAUCUUUUAUGGUAACUUUAUCACAGUGUUCAUCGUAGAAGGGCAUAUAUAUAAUUAUGUAUGCAUGGUAGAACCCCUGUAAAGUAAUAACUUUUAAUGAAUAGCCCUGUUAAAAUAAUACAUUUCUGGGCACCAAACCAAAUAUGUACAGGAAUACAGUGCAAACCUUCUGAAUGAUAAAGCAGGAAACUAAAAAAAAAAGAAAAUAAAGAAAACUAACAAAAAAGAACAUUUAGUAGGAAAUUGGACUGAUAUGCCUGCUUAUAUUAAAAGCUGUACAUGUUUUCAUGAAAUCAAAAUAAAUUUGAUAAAAGAGACUUUUGAAAUUACUAUAUGCUGUACAAAUAUUGUUUAAUAAAAAUAAAAGAUUUUUGCCUCAGAA